rnacentral:rRNA from 1 species
CCUACGGGGGGCAGCAGUGGGGAAUCUUGCGCAAUGGGCGAAAGCCUGACGCAGCCAUGCCGCGUGAAUGAUGAAGGUCUUAGGAUUGUAAAAUUCUUUCACCGGGGACGAUAAUGACGGUACCCGGAGAAGAAGCUCCGGCUAACUUCGUGCCAGCAGCCGCGGUAAUACGAAGGGGGCUAGCGUUGCUCGGAAUUACUGGGCGUAAAGGGCGCGUAGGCGGACAGUUUAGUCAGAGGUGAAAGCCCAGGGCUCAACCUUGGAAUUGCCUUUGAUACUGACUGUCUUGAGUACGGGAGAGGUGUGUGGAACUCCGAGUGUAGAGGUGAAAUUCGUAGAUAUUCGGAAGAACACCAGUGGCGAAGGCGACACACUGGCCCGUUACUGACGCUGAGGCGCGAAAGCGUGGGGAGCAAACAGGAUUAGAUACCCUGGUAGUC